GGCUUUAUAGUGGAAAUAUAAGACGUUAGAUUGCAAAUCUAAAAAUGUAAUUAAAAAUUGCUAAAGCUU
rnacentral:tRNA from 3 species